UGGCAGCAGUGGGGAAUAUUGCACAAUGGGCGCAAGCCUGAUGCAGCGACGCCGCGUGGGGGAUGACGGCCUUCGGGUUGUAAACUCCUUUCAACCAUGACGAAGCUUUUGUGACGGUAGUGGUAGAAGAAGCACCGGCUAACUACGUGCCAGCAGCCGCGGUAAUACGUAGGGUGCGAGCGUUGUCCGGAAUUACUGGGCGUAAAGAGCUCGUAGGUGGUUUGUCGCGUCGUCUGUGAAAUUCCGGGGCUUAACUCCGGGCGUGCAGGCGAUACGGGCAUAACUUGAGUGCUGUAGGGGAGACUGGAAUUCCUGGUGUAGCGGUGAAAUGCGCAGAUAUCAGGAGGAACACCGAUGGCGAAGGCAGGUCUCUGGGCAGUAACUGACGCUGAGGAGCGAAAGCAUGGGUAGCGAACAGGAUUAGAUACCC
rnacentral:rRNA from 1 species